rnacentral:misc_RNA from 1 species
ACGUCAUCCCCACCUUCCUCCGGUUUGUCACCGGCAGUCUGGCGUGAGUCCCCAACUUAAUGCUGGCAACACUUCACGGGGGUUGCGCUCGUUGCGGGACUUAACCCAACAUCUCACGACACGAGCUGACGACAGCCAUGCAGCAUCUGUGGUGCACCCUCGAAGGUCACACGUUUCCGUGCGCUUGCAGCACCAUGUCAAGUCCAGGUAAGGUUCUUCGCGUUGCAUCGAAUUAAAGAACAUGCUCCGCUGCUUGUGCGGGCCCCCGUCAAUUCUUUUGAGUUUUAGCCUUGCGGCCGUACUCCCCAGGCGGAACACUUAUCGCGUUGGCUGCGGCACAGACAGAUUCGACUCCGCCCACACCUAGUGUUCAUCGUUUACGGCGUGGACUACCGGGUAU